AUUGUCUAGUAAUUUUAUUAACAAAUAUUAAACUAAAAAUUGUCAAUCCAGUAAAAUCAAUAUGGUAUACUUAUUGUAAAAUGAUAUUGUUUUGGUUUUUUUUAGUCAAUAUCACUAGUGGAAUUUCCAAAAAAUCUCGAUCUUUUUUUCAAAUAAAAUUGAGAAUGGAAAUGGGGAAUGUGCCAAAGAGACAACAACCCGACCAUAGAAAAAAACAACAGUAGAAGGUCACCAACUGGUCUUCAAUGUAGCGAGAAAUUCUCGCACCCGGAACCGUCCUUCAGCUUGGCCCCUAAACAAAUAUAUACUAGUUCAGUGAUAAUGAACGCCAUACUAAUUUCCAAAGC
rnacentral:lncRNA from 1 species